AGAGAAAUUAUGAAGGAGAGAGAAACCUAAGAAAACAAGCAACCUGUCAUUGUUCUUACACUUCACCUCCUUUGGAAUGGGUGUCUGACCUCACUGGAAACUCACAAGAAUUUGCCGAUACGACACUCCACCCUUUUCAAAGAUUCAGCGAGCUCCCAGAACCCCCAAGUCCUCCUCAACUGGGCAGUGUGAGUUUCUUCCCAAGGCUUCACGUCCAUUGCAGAGCCCAACAUGGGGCUUGAACUCAGGACCCUGAGAUCAAGACCUGACCUGAGAUCAAGAGUCAGACGUUUAACCUCCUGAGCCACCCAGGUGCCCCUAUUUUUUCCUUUUUUAGUAUAUCUAUGCCAUUUCCAAACUGUAUAUAAUGGAAAAUAUAACAGUUAUAACCAGAUAAAAAUGCUGGUAAGAUUUAUCAGGUGCCAAAUCUGAGUCUAUUGCAGACGUUCAUUUA